rnacentral:rRNA from 1 species
CGCAUUCGCCCUUCGGGGUGCACCAGGCGCGAAAACUUUACCAUGCUGGCAACAGCGAUAAGGGGACCUCGAGUGCCAGGAUACAAUCUUGGCUGUCGCGAUGCCUAAAAAGCAUUGCAUAGCAAGGGCCGGGCAAGACCGGUGCCAGCCGCCGCGGUAACACCGGCGGCUCGAGUGGUAACCGCUAUUAUUGGGUCUAAAGGGUCUGUAGCCGGCCGGAUAAGUCUUUUGGGAAAUCCAGCUGCUCAACAGUUGGGCUUUCAGAAGAUACUGUUCGGCUCGAGACCGGGAGAGGUGAGAGGUACUUCAGGGGUAGGGGUGAAAUCUUGUAAUCCUUGAAGGACCACCAGUGGCGAAGGCGUCUCACCAGAACGGAUCUGACGGCAAGGGACGAAAGCUAGGGGCACGAACCGGAUUAGAUACCCGGGUAGUCCUAGCCGUAAACGAUACUCGCUAGGUGUCAGCCACGGUGCGACCGUGGUUGGUGCCGUAGGGAAGCCGUGAAGCGAGCCACCUGGGAAGUACGGCCGCAAGGCUGAAACUUAAAGGAAUUGGCGGGGGAGCAC